ensembl:lncRNA
AGUGUCUUUGUAUGGAAGGCGCCUUACCCCUAUCCAAACAUUCAGAUCCGUUGGAGCUGUAGGUGGUUGAAGUUCACUAUUAUCAGCAUUCCAAAACCACCAGCACUACUGAAGUCUUAUUUCAGCAGCUCCUGGAAAGGAUAGUCUCAACACAGUGUUUGACCACCACCAAAACAAUUCCUCACAUUCAACCAUGGUUUCUCAGGAUGAUUUUUCUCAAGGGUAUGGGAAGGGAAACCAUUGGACUCUAAUGGUUAGUAGCCUUCCCUGUUUAUUCAUGUCCAGAAAGCCAUGAUCUGCCAAGUCAAUAUUAUUAGCACAAAAUAUUAGAGUGGAUGUUGAUGCAGGGUCCAGUUAGGUAUGUCUGAGCAGCUGGUGCUCAAGUGGAGAGAUAAUGUGUUCUCUGCAUUACUUUCAUUAUUAUUUGUAUUUAUCAUUAUGCCCAGGUCAGGCCCUUGUGAGGUUGUGAGGCCUGAGACAAUUGCUUCUUCUACCAUAUGAACCCUCAUGCCUGGAGGCAAGCUCAACUCCUCACUUUUGAGGAGCCAGUAGAACACAAUGAGGCAAAUCUGUCCGACAAACCUCCAGGCACGGCAAAUCUUCAGUAGCCGAUAUCAAGUGGGCACUGGUUUCCCUGGAGCAUUUUGAGGCAGUGGCUUUAUCCAUUCUCGAGGUCCAAAUAAUAUUUUAGUCAAAAGACAAAGACUAUUUAAAGCUCCAUACAGUCAUUGUAAAAAAUAUAUAUUGAUCAUCACUAUAUGUUCAAUAACUCCAAAACCUCCUUCGGCCCAUAAAAUGCUCACUUUGUGCAAAUGGGAAAAUAUUUACAUACAAUGCAAUAAUUUUGCUGAUUAGAUGGUCUAAAACUCACACACCCUGUGUAACUGUGAUGCAGCAGCGCCUUCUCUUACAUCUAGAUUGAACCAAGGCCCCCUUGAGGGGCAGCAUCUCCAAAGCUGCAGAGACAGGGGGUUGUUGAAACAUAAAAGAGACCCUGAUGUACAGGACAUGGCAGAGACCUCAUUGCCUGUGUUGCCUGACCUCAUUGCCUGUGUUGCCUGACCUCAUUGCCUGUGUUGCCUGACCUCAUUGCCUAUGUUGCCUGACCUCAUUGCCUGUAUUGCCUGACCUCAUUGCCUGUAUUGUUGUUUUGCCCCUGAGCCAUGAGAAAGAAGAGUUCUGAGGCUGCCGAGUCCACGACAACUGCCACUGAUACCCCCAGAGCCACCACCCCUGGCAGCACAGAAGCCUCAUUUAUCAAGUGCGCAUUAUGCAGAAAUCUGUACUUAAACCAUGAAAUCUGUGCAUCAACCAUGGAACUUUCAGCACAAAGUUGAAGCUUUAUCAACAUUAUUGUUUGCAGUGUUCUUAAGUUAACGCACAUCCAUGACCGAUUCAUAUGCACAGUGUUAAGUGAUAGAAUAAGGGAACUGCUUUUCAAAUGUAGACUGAUUAAUGUUGAACCUUUUUUAAAUGUAUAAAUGAAUGCCCGAAAUAGAUUCUAAAAUGAGUAUGAACAGACUACACGUGAAUGCAAACUGAUAGAUGGACCAGUAAGAAAGUUUAAAUGAGGUAUAUCACAUUCACUUUAUAAACAUUAAGUUAAAGAAUUAACUGCAGAUAUCCCCUUUAAACAAUAUUUGAAUGCCAUUGAUUUUCUAUUGUGAAUUCAUGCAACAUUUCUUAACAAGCUAUGGCAGUG